AACGAACGCUGGCGGCAUGCCUAACACAUGCAAGUCGAACGAGACCUUCGGGUCUAGUGGCGCACGGGUGCGUAACGCGUGGGAACCUGCCCUUAGGUUCGGAAUAACUCCCCGAAAGGGGUGCUAAUACCGGAUAAUGUCUUCGGACCAAAGAUUUAUCGCCUUUGGAUGGGCCCGCGUUGGAUUAGCUAGUUGGUAGGGUAAAAGCCUACCAAGGCGACGAUCCAUAGCUGGUCUGAGAGGAUGAUCAGCCACACUGGAACUGAGACACGGCCCAGACUCCUACGGGAGGCAGCAGUGGGGAAUAUUGGACAAUGGGCGAAAGCCUGAUCCAGCAAUGCCGCGUGAGUGAUGAAGGCCUUAGGGUUGUAAAGCUCUUCUACCCGGGAUGAUAAUGACAGUACCGGGAGAAUAAGCUCCGGCUAACUCCGUG
rnacentral:rRNA from 1 species